ACUGACUUCUUCAGUUCCAAUGGGAAUAUUGUGAAUUUGAUAAGUACCACACAGUUUGUUUAUAAUAGGCAUUGGUCCAGAGACUAGAUCCACCAGAUAGAGGUACUGUCGAGGUAUACAAGCAUCUGUUUCCUGGAGCACAAUAAAUGAUAUUAACGGAUAACUUCUGCUUCACACAUAAUUCAUUAAUCAGAUCAGACAUAUCAUUCUUGUCUUCACAAGCGAAUGCAUAUAAAUCACGCUGUCGAAUAAGGUUCUCCAAACACAUAGCCGCAUCAGGGCUUUUAAUAUUUAACUGCAAUAAAUUUAAUUAUUUAGAUUCACCGAAAAGGAUUAUUAUGAUACUUACUUCAAAUAUCAUUGGAUCGUAAAUAUUGGACUUAUAUUUGUGCUUAUUUUCAGCAACCCAACUCAUGGCUUUGAUUAAAUUUGGAUUUUGGUUGCGCAAUUCCUAAAAAAAAAUAUGGUUUGAUAUUUAAUAAAGUACACACAUUAUGAUUAUGUCGUGUCUUACUUCAA